GAUGAACGCUGGCGGCGUGCCUAAUACAUGCAAGUCGAGCGAAUGGAUCAAGAGCUCGCUCUUAUGAAGUUAGCGGCGGACGGGUGAGUAACACGUGGGUAACCUGCCCAUAAGACUGGGGUAACUCCGGGAAACCGGGGCUAAUACCGGCUAACAUUUUGAACCGCCUGGUUCGAAAUUGAAAGGCGGCUUCGACUGUCACUUAUGGCUGGACCCGCGUCGCAGUAGCCAGGUGGUGAGGUAACGGCCCACCAAGGCAACGAUGCGUAGCCGACCUGAGAGGGUGAUCGGCCACACUGGGACUGAGACACGGCCCAGACUCCUACGGGAGGCAGCAGUAGGGAAUCAUCCGCAAUGGACGAAAGUCUGACGGAGCAACGCCGCGUGAGUGAUGAAGGCUUUCGGGUCGUAAAACUCUGUUGUUAGGGAAGAACAAGUGCUAGUUGAAUAAGCCGGCACCUUGACGGUACCUAACCAGAAAGCCACGGCUAACUACGUGCCAGCCGCCGCGGUAA
rnacentral:rRNA from 1 species